GGAACCUUCGGGUUUUAGUGGCGAACGGGUGAGUAACACGUAAGCAACCUACCCUAAAGACGAGGAUAACCAUUGGAAACAGUGGCUAAGACUGGAUAGGAAGAUAAAAGGCAUCUUUUAUCUUUUAAAAGACCUAGUAAUAGGUAUGCUUUAGGAGGGGCUUGCGCCAUAUUAGUUAGUUGGUAGGGUAAUGGCCUACCAAGACGAUGAUGUGUAGCUGGACUGAGAGGUUGAACAGCCACAUUGGGACUGAGACACGGCCCAAACUCCUACGGGAGGCAGCAGUAGGGAAUUUUCGGCAAUGGAGGAAACUCUGACCGAGCAACGCCGCGUGAAUGACGAAGUACUUCGGUAUGUAAAGUUCUUUUAUCAAGGAAGAAAAGCAAAUGGCGAACCAUUUGUUUGCCGGUACUUGAUGAAUAAGCCCCGGCUAAUUAUGUGCCAGCAGCCGCGGUAAGACAUAAGGGGCAAGUGUUAUCCGGAAUUAUUGGGCGUAAAGGGUGCGUAGGCGGGUCUAGUAAGUCAGUGGUGUAAUGGCAACGCUUAACGUUGUCCGGCUAUUGAAACUGCUAAACUUGAGUUAGAUAGAGGCGAGUGGAAUUCCAUGUGUAGCGGUAAAAUGCGUAAAUAUAUGGAGGAACACCAGAGGCGUAGGCGGCUCGCUGGGUCUUAACUGACGCUGAGGCACGAAAGCGUGGGGAGCAAACAGGAUUAGAUACCCUGGUAGUCCACGCCGUAAACGAUGAGUACUAAGUGUCGGGUUAAACCGGUACUGAAGUUAACACAUUAAGUACUCCGCCUGAGUAGUACGUACGCAAGUAUGAAACUUAAAGGAAUUGACGGGACUCCGCACAAGCGGUGGAUCAUGUUGUUUAAUUCGAAGAUACCCGAAAAACCUUACCAGGUCUUGACAUGUUUUUGCAAAAUGAUAGUAAUAUCGUGGAGGUUACCAGAAACACAGGUGGUGCAUGGUUGUCGUCAGCUCGUGUCGUGAGAUGUUAGGUUAAGUCCUAAAACGAGCGAAACCCUUAUCGUUAGUUGCCAGCACGUUAUGGUGGGGACUUUAACGAGACUGCCAAUGAUAAAUUGGAGGAAGGUGAGGAUCACGUCAAAUCAGCAUGCCCCUUAUGACCUGGGCUACAAACGUGAUACAAUGGCUGUUACAAAGGGUAGCUGAAACGCAAGUUCUUGGCCAAUCCCCAAAAACAGUCCCAGUCCGGAUUGAAGUCUGCAACUCGACUUCAUGAAGUUGGAAUCGCUAGUAAUCGCGAAUCAGCAUGUCGCGGUGAAUACGUUCUCGGGGUUUGUACACACCGCCCGUCAAACCACGAAAGUUGGCAAUACCCCAAAACGGUAGCCUAACUCGUUUAUUCGAGAGGGCGCCGUCUAAGGU
rnacentral:rRNA from 1 species